rnacentral:misc_RNA from 1 species
AAAUGAACAAAAUGGUUACAAAGGGAAUCCUCUAAAUCAAGCUCACAUCAAAUAAUCUAAACAAAUUUGGUGCUUGAGUAAACAAGAAAAUAGAGACACAACGUACUCAAUUACAACACAUACCCAGUGUAGUCCCACAAGUGGGAUCUGGGGAGGGUAGGAUGUACGCACACCUUACCCUACCUUUGUGAGGUAGAGAGAUUGACUUGUUCCCGUUGACCCUCGGCUAACAUAGUCGUUCUGCUACUUUUUUAAAUCAAAGCUCACACCAACUAGUUUACAAAGUUCACUUGAAAAUCUUCUUCGUCUCAAAUUCCUUUAUGAUCCGGCUAGCUUUUACCUCUUCUCUCCACACAGGCAUCUACCGGCUUGCAGAGCAAAAUAGGUCAAAAUUAUGUCAGCACCAGCUCGUCGAAGGCACAUCAAUGAUUCCAUCAUAACCCUUUCUUCAUCGAUCAUUUUUAGAACCCCACCUGCUUUGAUCAUCGAGUAUUCACCUGAAACCUGAUAGGCAGCUAUGGGCAAAGGAGAUUUAUCCCGAAGAAGCCUAAUAAUAUCCAAAUAAGGCAAACCUGGUUUAACAAGAAGAAUAUCAGCUCCUUCAGACUCAUCUGCUUGCAUCUCAACUAAUGCUUCUCUGUAAUUUGCGGGGUUCAUCUGAUAAGUUUUCUUAUCUCCAAAACGUGGAUUUGAAUCUAAAGCCUCUCUGAAAGGUCCAUAAAAGGAGCUUGCAUACUUUGCCGUAUAUGACAUGAUUGACACAUGCUGAAAUCCUUCAGCAUCAAGAGCUGCUCGAAUUGCUCCGACACGACCAUCCAUCAUGUCACUUGGACUGACAACAUCUGCUCCUGCUCUGGCCUGAGCAACUGCCUGUUUGCACAACUGAUGCACAGUCUCGUCAUUCAUGAUAACUCCAUCUUCUCUCACAAUGCCAUCAUGCCCAUCAGAUGAAUAUGGAUCCAAAGCAACAUCAGUGUAGAUAACAAGAUCAGGGUAUUUGUCUUUCAGCAAACGUAUUGUUCGGGGCACUAAUCCAUUGUCAUUGUAAGCUUCAUCUCCUGUAGAGGUCUUUAAAGCAUCUGGAACUUUU